UGAACGCUAGCGGCAGGCCUAAUACAUGCAAGUCGAGGGGUAACAGGAAGUGCUUGCACUUCGCUGACGACCGGCGCACGGGUGAGUAUCGCGUAUACAAUCUGCCUCAUACUAGGGAAUAGCCCGAAGAAAUUUGGAUUAAUGCCCUAUAGUAUCUUUUUAAGGCAUCUUAUUAAGAUUAAAGGUUACGGUAUGAGAUGAGUAUGCGUUCUAUUAGCUAGUAGGUGUGGUAACGGCACACCUAGGCUACGAUAGAUAGGGGCCCUGAGAGGGGGAUCCCCCACACUGGUACUGAGACACGGACCAGACUCCUACGGGAGGCAGCAGUAAGGAAUAUUGGUCAAUGGACGAAAGUCUGAACCAGCCAUGCCGCGUGCAGGAUGACUGCCCUAUGGGUUGUAAACUGCUUUUAUAUAGGAAGAAAAACUUUCUCGUGAGAAAGCUUGACGGUACUAUAAGAAUAAGGAUCGG
rnacentral:rRNA from 1 species